rnacentral:rRNA from 1 species
CCUACGGGCGGCAGCAGUGGGGAAUAUUGGACAAUGGGCGAAAGCCUGAUCCAGCCAUGCCGCGUGUGUGAAGAAGGCCUUCGGGUUGUAAAGCACUUUCAGUGGGGAAGAAAGCCUUGGGGCUAAUACCCUCGAGGAAGGACAUCACCCACAGAAGAAGCACCGGCUAACUCCGCGCCAGCAGCCGCGGUAAUACGGAGGGUGCGAGCGUUAAUCGGAAUUACUGGGCGUAAAGCGCGCGUAGGCGGUCUGAUAAGCCGGUUGUGAAAGCCCCGGGCUCAACCUGGGAACGGCAUCCGGAACUGUCAGGCUAGAGUGCAGGAGAGGAAGGUAGAAUUCCCGGUGUAGCGGUGAAAUGCGUAGAGAUCGGGAGGAAUACCAGUGGCGAAGGCGGCCUUCUGGACUGACACUGACGCUGAGGUGCGAAAGCGUGGGUAGCAAACAGGAUUAGAUACCCCAGUAGUC